UACGAAGGGGGCUAGCGUUGUUCGGAAUUACUGGGCGUAAAGCGCACGUAGGCGGAUCGAUCAGUCAGGGGUGAAAUCCCAGGGCUCAACCCUGGAACUGCCUUUGAUACUGUCGAUCUGGAGUAUGGAAGAGGUGAGUGGAAUUCCGAGUGUAGAGGUGAAAUUCGUAGAUAUUCGGAGGAACACCAGUGGCGAAGGCGGCUCACUGGUCCAUUACUGACGCUGAGGCACGAAAGCGUGGGGAGCAAACAGG
rnacentral:rRNA from 1 species